GUGAUACUCCCUCCGUUCGGAAUUACUUGUCGCAGAAAUGGAUGUAUCUAGAUGUAUUUUAGUUCUAGAUACAUCCAUUUCCGAGACAAGUAAUUCCGAACGGAGGGAGUAGAUA
rnacentral:pre_miRNA from 1 species